AUUUAACAAGCUGUAGAGGUUCAUUGGCUCUUCGUAUCCGAAUUGAUUCUUCCAUCCUACUAAUCUGAUCCGGUGUAUACCUUACAACGCUAUUUAAAUCAUUAUUGGAGUAUAUAUAAAGUGAGCUGUAUAGAGAGCGAAGAACGUAAAGAGCAACAGCAAUGUUGAUGGAGCAAACUAUAAGAGUUGUUCUCUUGUACGAAAACGGGCAUACCCAUUUCACUCCCCUCGCCAUCUCCACCUCUCCCCUCUCC
rnacentral:misc_RNA from 1 species